CGCAUCUGUGCAUGCAGCAUAUCAAUAAGCGGAGGAAAAGAAACUAACAAGGAUUCCCUUAGUAACGGCGAGUGAAGCGGGAAGAGCUCAAAUUUGAAAUCUUCAAGGUUUUACCUUGACGAAUUGUAGUUUAAAGAAGUGUUUUCUGUUGAAGUUUUGGUAAAAGUUCUUUGGAAUAGGACAUCAUAGAGGGUGAGAAUCCCGUAUUUGACCAUUAUUUUCAGCUGUGUGAUACACUUUCAAAGAGUCGGAUUGUUUGGGAAUGCAGUCCAAAAUGGGUGGUAAAUUUCAUCUAAAGCUAAAUAUUGGCGAGAGACCGAUAGCGAACAAGUACCGUGAGGGAAAGAUGAAAAGAACUUUGAAAAGAGAGUUAAACAGUACGUGAAAUUGUCAAAAGGGAAGCGUUUGACACCAGUGUUGUUUUCUCGAAAAUCAAUUAAAAAGAGUUAGACUUUGUUGUGUAUUGACCUUAACAGCUUGCAUUUCAAUUUUCUUGCUUUUUUUAAUGCACUUUUCGUUUAACAAGUCAACAUCAGUUUCUUUUGUUGUAAAAAGGUCAUUGGAAGGUGGCUUUCUUUUCGGAGAAAGUGUUUAUAGCCUUUGACUCCUGCAAUCGGAGAGACUGAGGUCUGCAGCGUAGAUCCUUCGGGGUUAGAUACAUUUGUGCUAAGUUAUAGCUUUUUAUAGACAACUUGUUGACUAUGAUUAGUCUUGUAGCUUACUCGCUUAUGCUAUUUUACCUACGCUUAGGAUGUUGACACACGCGCGUGCUCG
rnacentral:rRNA from 1 species